rnacentral:lncRNA from 1 species
CAUGAAUCUGUCUCAAAAACAGAUGGUCAGUCUUCUGUGAUACCUGGGUUGAGCAGUCAGCAUUAUGAUCAACUGAUGAAUCUUUUACAACAAACCCAGCUAGGGGGUUCCAAUGCUCCAAACUCUUCUCCCAUGUGUGCUAUCAAUUUUGCUGGUACUAUGCUAACUGAGAGCCUAGUUUCUGAUUCCAAAGUUUGCAUGCUUACUAGUAUUAAUUAUGUGUCUUGGAUAAUAGAUUCUAGUGCAUCUAAUCAUAUGACCUAUAACCAACAACUACUUUUUAACCUUACACCUUUAUCUGUUCCUUAUCUUGUGAGCCUUCCUAAUGGUUACAAAGUAAAAGCCUUACACCUUUAUCUGUUCCUUAUCUUGUGACCCUUCCUAAUGGUUACAAAGUAAAAGUAACUUGCAUUGGCUCCUUUCAAUUGACUUCUUCUAUUGUUCUUCAUAAUGUACUGUUAAUUCCUUCUUUUACACACAACUUAAUUUCUGUCCAUAAGUUGGUGAAGGAAUUACAUUGUAUAGUCCUGUUCUCUGAACAUUCAUGUUUCCUCCAAAUGUUACAAGGCCCUUCUCUGAAGAAGCCACUGGAUCUUGGUAACCAAACUGAUGGUUGUAUAAGCUGACAUGGGUCCCUCCUUCACCUUCCCUCUCUUCAACAAAUUCUGUUUGUUCUGCUUCUACUUCUUGUGAUACUAGCAAGUUUACUGUUUUGUCUUCUAUGCCUAUUAUUUGUAAUGAUACAAUUCUGUCUGAUAAUAAAACUGUUUCAUCUUCCUUACAUGUAACCAGUCUCAAUUGUAAUAAUGAUUUGAAUUCUGAUAUGAAUUACAUUUGGCACUUGCGACUUGGUCAUAUUCCUUUUGCACAUAUGAAAUGUAUUUCUGGUUUAUCUUUCCCUUUUGCUUCUAAACAACCUUUCCCCUGUUCUNNN